rnacentral:rRNA from 1 species
UACAGAGGUCCCAAGCGUUGUUCGGAUUCACUGAGCGUAAAGGGUGCGUAGGCGGGUCUUUAAGUCAGGGGUGAAAUCCUGGAGCUCAACUCCAGAACUGCCUUUGAUACUGAGGAUCUUGAGUUCGGGAGAGGUGAGUGGAACUGCGAGUGUAGAGGUGAAAUUCGUAGAUAUUCGCAAGAACACCAGUGGCGAAGGCGGCUCACUGGCCCGAUACUGACGCUGAGGCACGAAAGCGUGGGGAGCAAACAGG